rnacentral:rRNA from 1 species
UACGUAGGGUGCAAGCGUUGUCCGGAAUUAUUGGGCGUAAAGAGCUUGUAGGUGGUUUGUCGCGUCUGCUGUGAAAAUCCGAGGCUCAACCUCGGACUUGCAGUGGGUACGGGCAGACUAGAGUGUGGUAGGGGAGACUGGAAUUCCUGGUGUAGCGGUGAAAUGCGCAGAUAUCAGGAGGAACACCGAUGGCGAAGGCAGGUCUCUGGGCAUUAACUGACGCUGAGGAGCGAAAGCAUGGGGAGCGAACAGG